rnacentral:rRNA from 1 species
AGCAGCCGCGGUAAUUCCAGCUCCAAUAGCGUAUAUUAAAGUUGUUGCAGUUAAAAAGCUCGUAGUUGAAUUUCGGGAUCAAUUUAUCGGUCGUGCCAAUGGUAUGAACUGGUACAAUUGGUUUCUCCCUUCUGACGAAGCAUGAUGUCAUUAAUUUGGUGUCGUGGGGAAUCAGGACUGUUACUUUGAAAAAAUUAGAGUGUUUAAAGCAAGCAUUAGCUUGAAUACAUUAGCAUGGAAUAAUGAAAUAGGACGUUUGAUCCUAUUUCGUUGGUUUCUAGGAUCGACGUAAUGAUUAAUAGGGAUAGUUGGGGGCAUUAGUAUUCAAUUGUCAGAGGUGGAAUUCUUGGAUUUAUUGAAGACUAACUACUGCGAAAGCAUUUGCCAAGGAUGUUUUCAUUAAUCAAGAACGAAAGUUAGGGGAUCGAAGACGAUCAGAUACCGUCGUAGUCUUAACCAUAAACUAUGCCGACUAGGGAUCGGAUGAUGUUAAUUUUUUAAUGACUCA